GCUCGAGUGGCGAACGGGUGAGUAACACGUGAGUAACCUGCCCUUGACUUUGGGAUAACUUCAGGAAACUGGGGCUAAUACCGGAUAGGAGCUCCUGCUGCAUGGUGGGGGUUGGAAAGUUUCGGCGGUUGGGGAUGGACUCGCGGCUUAUCAGCUUGUUGGUGGGGUAGUGGCUUACCAAGACUUUGACGGGUAGCCGGCCUGAGAGGGUGACCGGCCACAUUGGGACUGAGAUACGGCCCAG
rnacentral:rRNA from 1 species